rfam:Mycobacterium kansasii strain 1010001458 NODE_94_length_15252_cov_42.3277_ID_4825, whole genome shotgun sequence.
CGCAUUUCUUCGCGCGGGAGUGCGACCCGCGACACCGCUGAUUUGCGAGUUCAUCGACGAACACCGCGAGGACUUCGGGGUCGUACCGAUCUGCCGGGCGCUGGCCAUACACGGCGUGCAGAUCGCCCCG